rnacentral:lncRNA from 1 species
UCACGGUUCCUUGCGAAAGUCUCUGGGUCGGCGGAUAGACCGGCGGUGUCCCAUCCGUAGUCUCCGGGGAACUCACCGGUGAGGUAGCUUGGGGGCUCGCCGGAGAAUGGACCCAAGUACUUGACUCUGUCGGAUCCGUACCAUGGGCUGCCAGAUGGGCCUGUGGGCUUGGCGGUUUUGCGCAUGGUGACACGACCGGUUCCAAAUACUUCGGAGGCUGCCGGUGAGAGCUUCACGGCCUUUCCGGCGAAGGCAGGGGAGGACAGAGCCAUGGUUGAGGCAGCCAUUGGAAUUCUUCUUCUUUUUUUUCUUUUUUUGGUUUUUUUUUUUGUGACUGGUGAGAGUGAUUGAAAAUGGUUGGGGUAUAGAUCCAUUUUAUAGAAAUCUUAAGAAUGAGAUUUUGGAUAUGUCGUUUGGUUGUCCUAUGUGUCACUCUCUACUCCACCAACUUUUGGUUUAGAUUCUUUGAUUGCAAUGAAGACACUUGUGAU